rnacentral:rRNA from 1 species
CCUACGGGGCGCAGCAGUGGGGAAUAUUGCACAAAGGGCGCAAGCCUGAUGCAGCCAUGCCGCGUGUAUGAAGAAGGCCCCAGGGUUGUAAAGUACUUUCAGUCGGGAGGAAGGCGUUGAUGCUAAUAUCAUCAGCGAUUGACGUUACCGACAGAAGAAGCACCAGCUAACUCCGCGCCAGCAGCCGCGGUAAUACGGAGGGUGCAAGCGUUAAUCGGAAUUACUGGGCGUAAAGCGCACGCAGGCGGUUGAUUAAGUUAGAUGUGAAAUCCCCGGGCUUAACCUGGGAAUGGCAUCUAAGACUGGUCAGCUAGAGUCUUGUAGAGGGGGUAGAAUUCCAGGUGUAGCGGUGAAAUGCGUAGAGAUCUGGAGGAAUACCGGUGGCGAAGGCGGCCCCCUGGACAAAGACUGACGCUCAGGUGCGAAAGCGUGGGGAGCAAACAGGAUUAGAUACCCUCGUAGUC